rnacentral:rRNA from 1 species
GACGUAGGAUGCAAGCGUUGUCCGGAUUUAUUGGGCGUAAAGAGUUCGUAGGCGGUUUGUUAAGUCUGAUGUUAAAGAUCAGGGCUCAACCCUGGGAGUGCAUUGGAUACUGGCAGACUCGAGUGUGGUAGAGGCGAGUGGAAUUCCCAGUGUAGCGGUGAAAUGCGUAGAUAUUGGGAAGAACACCGGUGGCGCAAGCGACUCGCUGGGCCAUUACUGACGCUGAGGAACGAAAGCUAGGGGAGCGAAUGGG